rnacentral:rRNA from 1 species
UCCGGUGUCGAUGCGCUUAGGGGACACACCCGUUCCCAUCCCGAACACGAUGGUUAAGACCUAAGCGGCCGAUGAUACUAUGCUGGAGACGGCAUGGGAAAGCAGGCGGAUGCCGGAU